GCGGCUCCCGAUUGAUUCAAAAACUUGUCCGCUACGGAAAACGGCAAGUCUUUUCUGGUAAAAGAAUUGGCGCCCACGGAAUUGACGAGCCCGUAUAUCUUUUUGGGCCGUAGCCCAGAGUACUUGUAAGGAAGACCGCCGCUUCCAACGAAGAAAGACCACCGCAUGCAGAAAUUCGUGAUUUUGCCUUUCUCAAUUCUAGUUGUCUAUUAUUAUGCCAUCUCAUGUCUAUAACUGGUGGAACCAUCUAUGUCUAUGAUUUGUAGGCCCGAUGGUAUACUGAUAAAGUCUAAAAAUGAUAAUGGCAAAAUUGCCAAUAAUGAUCUGAUUGUUUGUGAAUAACCUUGUUAUUUCCCAUGUGAGUGCUAAGAAUCACAUAGCUUAAUUUUCAAGAAUUCAAUUAGUUUUAUUUAAGCAAGUUUAUACACAAAAACUAUCAUUUAUAGUAUCAUAAGUAUCGUUAGAUUAAUAUAUAGUAAUUAUAUUUGAAAGCAUAUGUUAAUACUACUCGUUUGUCUAAAAAAUUACAAUCCUAAAAUAGUGUUAAGUCCAUCGAUUUAAUGUUAGACCAAAUUUACCUAGAAUUAUACUGAAAUUUAGAUAGAGGUAAUAUUUUAUACAGUAUAAACUUAGACUUUUACAGAGAGCAAGCACAUUCAAGAUAUCAAAAACUAUUGAAGGAUACACAGAUAUAAAAAACAUACUAGUUAGGUGCCCGUGCAGUUCAAAUAUAUACAA
rnacentral:lncRNA from 7 species